CCGUCCUUCCUGUGUUCAAUUUGAAAUAUAUCUAACAUUUUCUAAUAAUCUAUAAUUUCUAAUAGGAAAAUAAGUAAAAAAAUCAACCACGAAAUGAUGUCAAUGUAAGGACUGAUAACCACAAUUCACUCCCCGACUCUUUGCAAUCAGUUUUAUAAACAUCAGGAACCCGAAAGAACAGCUAAAAUGAAAGAAAUAACAA